CUUCAACGGCGCAGGCAGGAAGCAACCGCAGUGAUUGCAUGGAAGACGACAAGCCUCCUCUCCUCGGUCGCCUUGUGAAUUCUCUCCCCAAGAAUGGCUCUCACUCGCACGCUUGGCCAGAACUGGAGCUAGGGUGGAGGGUUGUGCUCGGAUCCACAAUCACUUUCGCAGGAUCCGCUCUCGGGAGCGUCGGGGGAGUGGGGGGAGGCGGCAUCUUUGUGCCCAUGUUUACUGGAUUUUUUUUUCUUUUGUAAAUAGGUUUUCUUAGUUACAACUUACAAGUCUGGUAGCAUCAUCACAAGCGCUCUUAAAAAACACAAAAUGUCGUGCUUUGGAUGUUGCGAAGAGAAUGAUAAUAAUUGAACUGCUGCCAGUGGUGGUCCUUAUGUUGCAAGCCAUUCAGCUGGAAAUGAUGGAGCCUAUCUUUCUGCCAAUACUCCUUCUAAGGGUGCCCAAACUAUUAAGCCACAACCUAUUGCAGUCCCAGCUAUUCUUGUUGACGAGAUAAGGGAGAUCACAAAAAAAUUUGGUGAUGAAGCUUUGAUUU